UGGGGAAUAUUGCACAAUGGAGGGAACUCUGAUGCAGCGACGCCGCGGGAAGGAAGAAGGCUUUCGAGUCGUAAAGUUUUUUUAUAUGGGAAGAUAAUGACAGUACCAUAAGAAAAAGCCCCGGCUAACUACGUGCCAGCAGCCGCGGUAAUACGUAGGGGGCUAGCGUUGUCCGGAAUCACUGGGCGUAAAGGGUUCGCAGGCGGAAAUGCAAGUCAGGUGUAAAAGGCAGUAGCUUAACUACUGUAAGCAUUUGAAACUGCAUAUCUUGAGAAGAGUAGAGGUAAGUGGAAUUUUUAGUGUAGCGGUGAAAUGCGUAGAUAUUAAAAAGAAUACCGGUGGCGAAGGCGACUUACUGGGCUCAUUCUGACGCUGAGGAACGAAAGCGUGGGUAGCAAACAGG
rnacentral:rRNA from 1 species